UUGUCUUUGAAGUAAUAAAAGGCAGUUGAACCUACAAUCUAGACGAAACUCAGUCUUUGCACUUGCAGUCUCGAAGAAGUUCGGGAAAAGUUGGAAGUCUUGCUUAGAACGAACUAUGGCGCCGAAAGAUGGGGAAGGAAAAACGUAAAGGCUUUCUCGCAGCAAAUAAUAGGUUUAUCUGAACAGCCAGUUGUCAAAAGAUGAAGUAGAAAUAUUUUCUUAAAGCUGUGACAGUUUAAUAUCAGUUCAACUGAUUCAGU